rnacentral:rRNA from 1 species
ACGGGAGGCAGCAGCUAAGAAUAUUCCGCAAUGGACGAAAGUCUGACGGAGCGACGCCGCGUGGAUGAUGAAGGCCGGAAGGUUGUAAAAUCCUUUUAUACAUGAGGAAUAAGCAGAGCAGGAAAUGGCUUUGUGGUGACUGUAGUGUAUGAAUAAGCAACGGCUAAUUACGUGCCAGCAGCCGCGGUAACACGUAAGUUGCGAGCGUUGUUCGGAAUUAUUGGGCGUAAAGGGCAUGUAGGCGGUUUUGCAAGCUUGGUGUGAAAGGCAGGAGCUUAACUCCUGGACUGCGUUGAGAACUGCAAGACUAGAGUUACUGAAGAGCAAUCAGAAUUCCAGGUGUAGGGGUGAAAUCUGUAGAUAUCUGGAAGAAUACCAAUGGCGAAGGCAGGUUGCUGGCAGAUGACUGACGCUGAGGUGCGAAGGUGCGGGGAGCAAACAGGAUUAGAUACCCUGGUA